rnacentral:rRNA from 1 species
AGUGAACGCUGGCGGCGUGCCUAAUACAUGCAAGUCGAACGAAGUGGCGCACGGGAGAGUAAUAUAUAGUUAAUCUGACCUACACAGAGGAACAACAGUUGGAAACGCCUGCUAAUACCUCAUAGUGAAGGAAGAGACUAUAUCUUAUCAGCUAGUGGGUGAGGUAAUGGCUUAACAAGGCUAUGACGAGUAACUGGUCGCAGAGGAUGGUCUGGCACAUUGGAGCUGAGACACUGUCCAAACUCCUACGGGAGGCAGCAGUAAUGAAUAUUGCGCAAUGGGGGAAACCCUGACGCAGCAACGCCGCGUGGAGGAUUACACUUUUCGGAGCGUAAACUCCUUUUAUCAGGAAAGCGGUACCUGAUGAAUAAGCACCGGCUAACUACGUGCCAGCAGCCGCGGUAAUAC